UUCAACUAUAAAAUUAUUCACUGCUACCUCAUGACUAAUUUUUCUACUGUUAUGAAUUGUAAUGUAAAUAUCCGAUAUGUGGCUGCUGUGGGGGUCGUGACCCCACAAGUUGAGGAUUACUGUUCUAGGUGGUUCGACAAGGGUUUGUGAAGGAGUGGAAGCAGAGGGCCCCCUUGUGUGUGUGUUUCCUCCCGGGCUUCCGGUGAGUCUGAGGAGUCUCGUUGCCAUGGUAACUGUCACAUGAGAAAAUUGUGGGAUCAGGUUGUAGUUUCUAAGAAAAAGACCUUGAAUGGUUGUUUGACAAGAGCUCUCCGUGGCUUUGCAUUAGAAAUAGCCAAAGGAUGUGGCUGGGAUGGAGAGCAAAGGUCAAAGCUUCCUGAAAACUGCUUGCAAUGCAGAAAGAUGAUGUCAGUUGAUGGUAGAGGUGUUGGCGGAGAGGAGAGAGAGAGAGAGAAAGAGAGAGAGAGAGAGAGAGAGAGAGAGAGAGAGAGAGAGAGAGAGAGAGACUGCCUUUCCCAUUAUGCUCUGGGGUUUUUAUUCAUCAGAAUAACAUAUUAUAUGCCUAUUAGAUCCUAAGAAGUGUUCAAGUGUUCAAGCAAUAGAGGGAGGAAUGGAUCUGGAAGGCAAACAUUGUUUUUCUCUUGACUGGAUCAGAAUCAGUAUAUGAGAGAAAAAAAGAGAGUUCUCGUGGCCCCAGGAGUCAGAGCAGUACCCCAGGACUCCAGCUACCUAUCCUAUUCCCCUCUCCUCAAUGCUUAAGCAAACUGACAGCAAGCACAUCACUCCCCUGACGGACAAGCUUCGGCCCCUGAGGAGGGAGCAGGCUUGCAGGUUUACGUGGCCUCCUUUCUCUCCUCUUGUCCUCAGGGUUUUCAGUCAUCUCUUCAGGUCUUGAUUGGGCUUUUGGAGGGGACAAACAACCAGUUCUCCAGUAUUUCAUAUGACUGGAACUGCCACCUGGAGAAAACAGGCAGAACAAAGCCCUACAACAAAACAGACAGCAAUCAUUUCUCCUGCUGGGUAUCAGCAGCCUCCCAAGUACAACUCACCUGAGCCAGACUUGCCUGUGGUACCUGAUUCUGCUCUCUUAACUGAGAACUCUCUUUUAUUAUCACCCCCUGCAGCACUCAGGGUUUCAAAUCCUGCCUGGUAUCAGGCCUGGCAGAACAGGCAAGAAUGGUUCCAAGUUCUUAACCACAGUCAGUCAACAGCCUACCUUCACCCUGCCCAGUCUACCUUAGGUCACCUCCAUUUUUGUUAUCUGAAGAGCUUGUCCCCUGAUGGUCAGAUGGGAGGGCAUAAGUCAGUGGUUCUCAACCUGUGGGCAUGACUCUUUUUGAGGUCAUCUAAGAUCAUUGGAAAACACAGACAUUUACAUUAUAACUCAGAACAGUAGCAGAAUUACAGUAAUGAAGUAACAACAAAAAUGAUUUUAUGGUUGGAGACAACCAAGAGCAUGAAGAAUGAUAUUAAAGGCCUGCAGCACCAGGAAGGCUGACAACCACUGAUUUAAGUUCAACCGAGCUUUGUCAAUCCCAGGGUCUCCAGUGCCUUCUCAAAGAGGCAGAUUUCUGCUUGGUCAGAUUCGUUGAGAUGAAAUAGAAAGCAGAGACUGAGGAGACAGCUUAGUCAAUUCCUGAAUUGCUGUGCAAGCAUGAGGACCCAAGUUCAGUUCCCCAACGCCCACAUAAAAACCAGAUGAGGAGGCCUGUGUCUAGCCCUAAUUCUAGAGACACAGAGGCAGGAGGAUUCCUGGAACUCACUAGCCAGACAGUCUUACCAAACUGGUGAGUGCCAGGUCCAAAAGGGAGGGGUGCAUAAAUAAGAUGACCAAAACAUAUUGCAUGAAUUUUUUUCAAUUAAAAAAAUGAGAGUGAUCAAGAUACCUAGCAUCAACCUCCACAUACAUAUGUAGAAGAGAGAGAGAGAGAGAGAGAGAGAGAGAGAGAGAGAGAGAGAGAGAGAGAAACAGAAUGUAAAACCGUAGCAUAAAACAUUCUCUUCUUGGGACAGAGAUAGGUCUUGUAGUCCCCAUCCUGUGAGUUUCCCCAUUCAGAGCUUUUUUUUUUUCUCUUCAGCAGUAUGAUCAUGCUCUGUGGGAGGAGAGUUUAACUUUGAUCUUUAGCAAUGCCCUUUAAAUGUGGUUACAGUCAAAAAGUGAUGGUGAAAACUCAAAGUCAACAGGCAAGGGCACACACAAACCCCGAGAGAAAUGGAGAAGCAGAUGAUGGGAGACACAGUUAGACCAGGCCUGGGCUCUGUAUCCUGGUGUGCAGCAUGCCCUGAGAGGGCUCAGACAUCCUGACCUCUGACCUCACUUAGGCUCAUCCUCCUAAUUUAUUAAUCCCAGAGAAAUCCUUUCAUCCGCAAGGAAUCCCACCAACACUGCAGUCUUGGUGGAGCAUUCCUCUCUGGACUAUCCUCUGCGG
rnacentral:sRNA from 1 species